CUAGGUUGCCUACCUCAAAGGUCAAUUUUGAAGUGACAUUAAAGAACAUGCAAAAUUCCUUCACAGCUAUUGCAGGAUAGGAGAUGGCAUUACAAAAUAGUUAUUACAAAAAGAAGACAGGACAGAGGUGACUGGUCUAGAAGAUCAUACCAUUUUUAAGUUGCAGCAAAAACCAUAGAGGAGAACAUCUCUCCUGUAAAAUAAGGGGUAUAAGCAUUCAAGAUAAUAGCCAACACUGGUCCUUCUGGGAUCAGAAUCAGGGAGGCAAUAGGGCCCAGAAUAACUCUUACACAAUGGAAUACUACGCUGCAGUAAAAAAGAAGGAAUUCUUACCAUUUGCAACAGCAUGGAUGGAAC